GAGGGUGUUGGAAUAAUCUUAGCUCCUUGUAUUUAGGUCAAUACAUACAUAUCUAAUUUAAUAUACAUACAGUAUUAUGGUGUGUGCCAAUACUUAAACCAUGUAAGGACAAGGCCCUAUUAUCUCUUACGAGUUUUCUUCAAUGCAUCCAGUACCUUCAGAUUCAUCACUUAGCAGACGAAUUAUUUUUUUUUAAUUUGAACUUCUUUUGCCAUUCAAAUGGAUAAUUAACAGAGCCUUCAGCGCAUUGAAACUUAAUUGAGAGGGUGCAGACUUGCCAGACCCAUGACAUCCAAUAAACACUGUCACGCAAGUUGCUGCGGCAAGGUAGAAAUUGGGAUUGACCUUCUUCACGAAGAGCAUCGACCCGCAAAUCAGAUCCCUGGUCAGUGCAGUCUUAAAAUGCACCCUAAAACCCGCAAAACCCAUGCCGAACAAAAAAAGUCAGGGUCCUAGAAGAGACAGUAGAACGAAAAAAGGGGAAAAGAACUGUAACAUUCCAAAAAGAAUAUUUAUAUAUAUAAAUAUGCAUUGGAAAAUCGAAACAGAAAGUAUCGAAUUGCAAGCAGAAGAGAGAUUGAGUGGAAGUGAAGCAAAAGAAAAACCACUUCUCAUGUGGGACAGGCCACCUUCUCCGCCAUGUCUUCCCCGCAGCACUGAUGCUUGCCCCCCCCCCCCCUCCACCUCCGACAAUAUGGAUCUGGCGGUGCCUCACUCCGUCUUCACAAUCUUCCAUUUCACAG
rnacentral:lncRNA from 1 species